CCAGACUCCUACGGGAGGCAGCAGUGGGGGAUAUUGCACAAUGGGGGAAACCCUGAUGCAGCGACGCCGCGUGAGUGAAGAAGUAUUUCGGUAUGUAAAGCUCUAUCAGCAGGGAAGAAAAAAGACGGUACCUGACUAAGAAGCCCCGGCUAACUACGUGCCGGCAGCCGCGGUAAUACGUAGGGGGCAAGCGUUAUCCGGAUUUACUGGGGGUAAAGGGAGCGUAGACGGCAGUGCAAGUCUGGAGUGAAAGGCGGGGGCUCAACCCCCGGACUGCUCUGGAAACUGUACGGCUGGAGUGCAGGAGGGGUAAGUGGAAUUCCUAGGGUAGCGGUGAAAUGCGUAGAUAUAGGAGGAACACCAGUGGCGAAGGCGGCUUACUGGACUGUAACUGACGUUGAGGCUCGAAAGCGUGGGGAGCAAACAGGAUUAGAUACCCGAGUACC
rnacentral:rRNA from 1 species